GUUUUUAUAGUUUAAAAAAAAACAUUGGUCUUGUAAAUCAAAAUUGAAUAACUUACUCUAAAAACU
rnacentral:tRNA from 1 species